rnacentral:lncRNA from 1 species
CACGUGAAUUGCCAUUUUUAUUCCAACUUUCUCUUUCCUUUUUUAUGAUCUUGCUCUCUUUCCCAAUAGACAGAGAGUGCACUCAAUUUUUUCUUACUAUUUAGUAUUUGCCAUAGCAGAAAUUUGGUUAUUGCUUUAUUUAUUUUAAUCUAGUCUGCUUUUGUUCGAGAGGGAGGAGUAAAGUCGAGAUUGAAGUUCGAUAGUGCAUUAAGACACGCCUCAGUUCGCUGCCCUGCAAAAGGUCCGUAUCUUCUCCUCUCGCUCUCGUCUUGAUUCUAAUUACAGUACGUUCCAUGCCCGGUGCGUGUUUGCUUCGAGGUUGUUAGUUCUUAUUAAGCUUUUAUCUUUGAUGCUAUAAAAAUGGCUCUAAUUUGUGUUUGUUUAAGGGAAUGAUUCUAUGACUAAAGUUGUUAGCAAUAAUUCUUAACGAGAUUAUGUUCUGGUGUGUAUUGUUAGAAGCAUGCCUCACUAGUAUUUGAUAAAAUGUUCACAUGAAAAUAUCCAUUUCCUUUUGCAUACUUCUCUGUUAGAUGCUAUGAUUUUAAGAAGGAUUUUAUAAUGAGUUAGUUGUCUUGCAAAAUAUUUAUUUGCCAUUGUAAGUUAGGACCUUGAUGGAAAGGAAGUGAUAUGUGUAUCUAAUAUGUUAACCUGGAUGUAUUGAAAUUGUGUCCCCCCAUGGUUUAAGGUACGAGAACAAAAAAAGUAGCAAUGAAUACAUAUUCUGUUAUUGGUAUCAAUUUUAAAGAAUCAAUAGUUCACUGCUCUAAUUCUUUAUCUUUAUUUCUUUCGAGCAAAUGGAAUCUUAAUUCGAGAAUCUCGCAGUGGAGUCUCAUAGAGACUUAAUGCUACCACCGCCACAUGGAGUCGUUGCAUACCAUCUUCCUUAUCGGAUAGCGAGAAAAACAAGCUAAACAUUUGGGGACGUCUACGGCGCCUCUCAUUUCUUUUUUCCUUAUCAUUCAUGAUAUUUGACUUUUACUUGUGUGAUUUGAGUUUAUCUUCAAUUUCUGGGAUUACAUGUUAAAAUUUGUGUUAGCAUAGUAUGUUUCGUUAAUUAUCAAUUUGGUACAAUUUUAAUCACAUAAAAAUACAG